CCAAAGGGAUGAACAUUUAUUUGUCUUGAAAGCAACGGAGUAACAUUGCAUGAUUUCAAACAUAAAAUGACAUGCUGAUUUUUUUUUUAAAAAGAGAGCACUUUGUUGUUUAUGUAGAAAAGGCUUGGAGAGUGUGAUUACUGGAAGCUGGUUUUAGGUGCUACCAUCAUCUAGGCAAGAGAAACUGAAGACACACAUUAAGACUACAGCAAAGGCACUGGAAAAGCAACUCAGAUUGUGAAGAUCCCGGUGUUACACAUCCAAUCGUUCACCUCCUUCCAAGACUAUGACAUUCCAGGAAACCUUCACUGCUAAGAGGAACUAAGAUCUAGAGUAUCUCCUCGAGGAAGUACAACUGACUUGUCUUUGGACAAAAUUGAGAAGAACUCAUAAACUUGGCUUCCUCGCUUCUGCUCCUCAGACGCGCGUGGAUGAUUUGAAGAUAUUAGCCUAACAAGAUGGAAGCAGGUUUAAAAUUUUACAUAAGAAGUUACCUUUUUCAGUUGUGUUGAUGUUCCUUUCAGCUGGUCCUAUAGUACCCCUCCUCAGGAAUGUCUCCCCAGUGCAAGGACAAAGACUGAAGAGACUGCUAUAUUGAUGGACUCUCAAGCCAACUAUGAAGUUGAAACAAAGAAAGUGAUCACCUGAAGACACCUCCUCUGCUAAGAAACACCCCCAAAUUGUGCAGCUUCUGCCACUAGAACUCUCAGAACAAGAGACAAUCUUUUCAAGAAACAGAAAAACUCAAUAAUGACAUCUAGAUUUUCAUGAGCCAAGAACUUUCCCUUCCUCAUGUGUAUUCCUCUGUUUGUACUUAAAUUCAUGUGACAUUCAUUUUUUUCCUAGUAUGGAUAUGCUUAUUAAUGCACUUGUUUCAAAAUCCCAAAUUGCACAAAUGUGUUAAUAUUUUAAGAAACAAAAUGAAUCCUACAAGGAGAAUGAUUUUUAGCCACACAUAGGGUUGGAUCUUGAGAGUGACCUACAGAAUAAAAGUACUUUUAAAAUAAAGUAGUCAGAGGCUAUUCAAAGGGUAAAAUAAUCAUAGUACCACAUUGGUCCACUUGACACUAACCAAUCGAUCAUUUUUUUUUAAUCAAGAAAGCUAGAUUCUAUCAGAUAAAAUCACUGCUUCUAAAGAGUUUAAAUCUAGUUAGAAAAAGUUAUAGAAAUGUUUGCAAAGAUAAGUAACAGAUAGAGUCAGUAGAGGAUAAGAUCAAAAACAAAACCAAGCAAAAGAUGAGUUCAGGGGAGUUUGCCAUCAAGUUGGCAAAACUGACUUACUUAGGGAAGAAAGUUAUAAAACAGGAAAAUAUGAGAUGAACCUUGAGUGAUGUGGAAGAUUUAGAUAAAUGGAAAGGAAGGAGAAAAUGGAGUUCUUUAGGUGGUUGUAAUUGGAGGAGGAAAUGAAUACACACAUCUUGUUGACUUAAACCCAGACAUUCAGCAGCUCUCUAUACAUAUCUGGAAAAGACUGCACAGUCACCUCCUGUCUCUCACCCCAGGUAUUACUUAGAAUUAUUAUCAUAUUUCCCUUCCUUUAAAGUAAGUAAGGGUGAUUGGUGACAAUAUGGAGAACUAUGAUUUUUCCAUUAACCUAAUAAUAAUUGGUAUUUAUUGAGUUCUGUUAAGCAUUUUACAUAUUAACUCACUUAAGCCUUUCAACAGCCUUGCAAAAUAGGUAUUAUUAUCCCCAUUUUACAGGCAAGAAAACUGAGGUUUAAGUAACUUGCCGAAGUGCCAUAUACAGGGCUCACAUUCAGUAUUGCAGUUGCAAAGCUCAUGAUCUAUAGUGCCAAGUUGCAAUAUUGUAGUCAAUGUCACAAUUAUUACCCCUUUUUAUAUUCCUUGAUAUUUUUCCAUGGCAAACAAUUAGCUAUUUCAUUUAAUAAUCACCUAAAACUUUUCAGUCUUCUGAUUAAAAUUACGCUGGAGUGAUAGAAUGUAUUUUCAUGAUAGAAAUUGGGAAAAAAAAUGGGGAAUGAAGUUUAUCAGCAUUUCAGACUUGUUUUUUUUUUUUUUUUUUGCAAGACUUUGAUGAGAUUGUUCACUUUUGUCUAUGUAAAAUCCCAAAUCCUUGAGAAUAAAAAAGGGGGAGGUUUAAGUCACUUGUUGCAAUGCCCUUUUUAAUAGAGGCAAUAAAUCUAAAGGCCAUAAAUUUAGAGUGACUUACAGAAGAUCGAACUUUGGAGUGUGGCAGAGUAAGGGAUGGAAACCGGGCCCUCCAGUUCACUAUCAGUAGCUUUUGCACUGGUCUGCCCUUCCUAAAUUAAGUAUGCACUUCAAUUUGAUGAGUGGAAACAGUCUAUCUGGGCAGUAACCAGGGAGCUUUGUGCCUAGUAGAUUGCUUCUGUUCUGCACUUCUUUGGUUUCCCACCUCAAUGUAAAAAAUAGCUAGCAAUGAAGUCCAGAAGUUGUCAAUGGUUCAUCCCCAGAAGAAUGCAUAAUGUCCAAAGUUGUAUGUGUAUGAUGUCUUCAAUGGUAUUAAGUUAUUUCAAAUUCUUAGUUCACCUACAUAAAUCAUUUCUAACAAGCAUCUUCUUAACCAACUUUAUGCACAGUGUAUGUUUGUAAGUGCUUCUGCACGAAUGUUUAUACAUGACUGUUUCCAUAGUACUUAUGUUUUUAAAAAUAUUCAGUCAUUUCCUACUAUAAUCCUCAUGUAUCCAUGUAACUGACUCAAAAAUACUUCAGCCACAGAAAGCUAAAACUGAGCAAAUCUCAUUCUUCUUUUCCAUCCCCUUUGCAUGUGGCUGGCAUUUAGUAAUGAUUAAUAAUAUGGCCAGCUGAAUAACAGAGGUUUGAGACACAAUUCUUUCUCAAAGGAGUCAGCUAAGCUGGGUCUACUUAUGGACAAACAUCUAAAUGUGUGGAAGUAUCUGAUAUUUGACAAUGGUAAAUUUCCACUUAGCUAGCUAGCAUUGUCAGACUUCAAUCUCCUCAUGGCUCUGGCCGUCCUGUUUUAAGCAUGAUAAUUGUUGGCCACAUCUCACAUAGUUCUCAUUGAGUGAGUUCAUAAAUAAACAGGGUUUUUUUUUUUUUUUAAAGAGCAGCCAAGCACAAAGUGUGACUUUGUUGACAUUUUAUGUGACUUUGUCAUAUGUUCCUAACCCCCAAUAAAAGCAAUGUUGCAUCAACUGUGAAUUUGUGUUGAUUUCUUGAAAAAGCAUGCUCUUAUAAUUUAUUUGUUU
rnacentral:lncRNA from 1 species